UGCGGAAUUUUAGAUAAUGGAGGGAACUCUGAUCUAGCGACGCCGCGUGCAGGAAGAAGGUCUUCGGAUUGUAAACUGCUGUGGUAAGGGAAAAAUGCUAUGUAGAGUGGAAAGCUACAUAGAGGGGUGGUACCUUACUAGAAAGCCCCGGCUAACUACGUGCCAGCAGCCGCGGUAAUACGUAGGGGGCGAGCGUUACCCGGAAUCACUGGGCGUAAAGGGAGCGUAGGUGGCCUAACAUGUCAACUGUGAAAACCCGGAGCUCAACUCCGGACUUGCAGUUGAAACUGGUGGGCUUGAGGACGGUAGAGGAAGACGGAACUGCCAGUGUAGGGGUAGAAUCCUUAGAUAUUGGCAGGAACGCCGGUGACGAAGGUGGUUUUCUGGGCCGGUUCUGACACUGAUGCUCGAAAGCCAGGGGAGCGAACGG
rnacentral:rRNA from 1 species